AAUCAAAUGUGUAUUUGCUUUCUUUUUAGUUUGAAAUGUACCAUCUGAUAGUAAUGAACUGUACCUGGCUAUCGACUCGGGCUGCAAUGUGAAUUCUUGGUGAUAGGUGACGACUGAAGACUGAAGAGUGCCGAUGGACCGAUUAGAUUAUUUUUUUACGUUUAGAUUAUAUAUUCACGUCAGUAUAAUUGUAAUGUACGGGGUGAAUAGUGAAAGGUCCGUCAUACAGUUAGCUUUGUAGAUUUCUUUUUUGUAUUCACAUUUUUUCCCAACUGUAGGAAGCAAGUGAUAUCACGGUGUUAUCUGUGUGUUAUCUGGUCUGCAUAUCGUUGUGACGUGGUUGAAGAAAAUGUGACUUCCUAGUGUAUGUUGUAGAUUUAUCAGUCUAUGUUUAAACCUUAUCUUCGUCCGCAUCUUCACCAUCUUCAUCAUCGUUAUUAUUAUCAUCAUCAAUAUUAGCAUCAUCGUCAAUGACAUCAUCGAAUCAACACCCAAAAACUAAGACAAUGAUUCUACUUUUCGUCAUGAUGUACAUGGUCGUGUUAAUCAUGGUGGCCACGGGAAUGGUUCUCCUCGUGAUGGGCCAAUCCAUCGGCGCCGUCUCCACCUUCGUCGCUCUGGGUAACGCCUUUCUUUUGAA